AUAAUAAUAUUUUACUGGUUAAUCGAUGAUCAAAUCUGACUAUUCGGUCUUAUAUUAUGAUGGCUUCCAAGCUUCCCAUUUACUCAUAGAGUCGGCCGCUCAUUUGCUGUAUAAACAUAUACAUAUAUUCAUGGUUUUGAUCAAAAUCUAUAUUAAAUAAAUCGGAGUACUUACGAUAAUAGUAGACUAUAUUUAUAAUCCCCCGAUUUUCGAAAAUUUCGAAUCGUCAACAGAUUUAAACGUUAUACGAUUAUAUUUUAAACAGUACAAUUCUU